rnacentral:rRNA from 2 species
CUUGGUUACUUGAGCGGUUCGGAACCACCCUUUCCCAUCCCGAACAAGGUCGUGAAACGAACCAGCGCCGACGAUACUCACUCCAAAUCGGAGAAUGGGGAAACUAGGUCGUAGCCGAGA